rnacentral:rRNA from 1 species
GACGAACGCUGACGGCGUGCUUUAGACAUGCAAGUCGAACGAGAAAGCCCUUCGGGGUUAGUAAAGUGGUGAACGGGUGAGUAACACGUGGGCAAUCUGCCCUUCGUUGGGGGACAACCGGGGGAAACCCCGGCUAAUACCCCGUAAGCUUGUCGGGUCGCAUGGCCUGACAAGGAGAGGUAGCUUCGGCCAUCCGGCGAAGGAGGAGCCCGCGGUACAUUAGCUAGUUGGUGAGGUAAAGGCCCACCAAGGCGACGAUGUAUAGCUGGUCUGAGAGGAUGAUCAGCCACACUGGGACUGAGACACGGCCCAGACUCCUACGGGAGGCAGCAGUCGGGAAUCUUGCACAAUGGGCGAAAGCCUGAUGCAGCAACGCCGUGUGAGCGACGAAGGCCCUAGGGUCGUAAAGCUCUGUUGUUAGGGACGAAGGGCGAAGGGUUAAUAGCCCUUAGCCUGACGGUACCUUUCGAGGAAGCCCCGGCUAACUACGUGCCAGCCGCCGCAGUAA